rnacentral:rRNA from 1 species
CGAAGCACUUUAAUCGAUUUCUUCGGAUUGAAAUUUUAGUGACUGAGUGGCGGACGGGUGAGUAACGCGUGGGUAACCUGCCUCACACAGGGGGAUAACAGUUGGAAACGGCUGCUAAUACCGCAUAAGCGCACAGUACCGCAUGGUACGGUGUGAAAAACUCCGGUGGUGUGAGAUGGACCCGCGUCUGAUUAGCUAGUUGGCAGGGCAACGGCCUACCAAGGCGACGAUCAGUAGCCGACCUGAGAGGGUGACCGGCCACAUUGGGACUGAGACACGGCCCAAACUCCUACGGGAGGCAGCAGUGGGGAAUAUUGCACAAUGGGGGAAACCCUGAUGCAGCGACGCCGCGUGAGCGAAGAAGUAUUUCGGUAUGUAAAGCUCUAUCAGCAGGGAAGAAGAAAUGACGGUACCUGACUAAGAAGCACCGGCUAAAUACGUGCCAGCAGCCGCGGUAAUACGUAUGGUGCAAGCGUUAUCCGGAUUUACUGGGUGUAAAGGGAGCGCAGGCGGAAGGCUAAGUCUGAUGUGAAAGCCCGGGGCUCAACCCCGGUACUGCAUUGGAAACUGGUCAUCUAGAGUGUCGGAGGGGUAAGUGGAAUUCCUAGUGUAGCGGUGAAAUGCGUAGAUAUUAGGAGGAACACCAGUGGCGAAGGCGGCUUACUGGACGAUAACUGACGCUGAGGCUCGAAAGCGUGGGGAGCAAACAGGAUUAGAUACCCUGGUAGUCCACGCCGUAAACGAUGACUGCUAGGUGUCGG